rnacentral:rRNA from 1 species
GACGAACGCUGGCGGCGUGCUUAACACAUGCAAGUCGAACGGAAAGGCCCUUCGGGGUACUCGAGUGGCGAACGGGUGAGUAACACGUGGGUGAUCUGCCCUGCACUUUGGGAUAAGCCUGGGAAACUGGGUCUAAUACCGAAUAGGACCGCGCGCUUCAUGGUGUGUGGUGGAAAGCUUUUGCGGUGUGGGAUGGGCCCGCGGCCUAUCAGCUUGUUGGCGGGGUAAUGGCCUACCAAGGCGACGACGGGUAGCCGGCCUGAGAGGGUGACCGGCCACACUGGGACUGAGAUACGGCCCAGACUCCUACGGGAGGCAGCAGUGGGGAAUAUUGCACAAUGGGCGCAAGCCUGAUGCAGCGACGCCGCGUGAGGGAUGACGGCCUUCGGGUUGUAAACCUCUUUCACCAGGGACGAAGCGCAAGUGACGGUACCUGGAGAAGAAGCACCGGCCAACUACGUG